GUAACUCCUACGGGAGGCAGCAGUGGGGAAUUUUGGACAAUGGGCGAAAGCCUGAUCCAGCAAUGCCGCGUGAGUGAAGAAGGCCUUCGGGUUGUAAAGCUCUUUUGUCAGGGAAGAAACGGUGAAAGCUAAUAUCUUUUGCUAAUGACGGUACCUGAAGAAUAAGCACCGGCUAACUACGUGCCAGCAGCCGCGGUAAUACGUAGGGUGCAAGCGUUAAUCGGAAUUACUGGGCGUAAAGCGUGCGCAGGCGGUUUUGUAAGUCUGAUGUGAAAUCCCCGGGCUCAACCUGGGAAUUGCAUUGGAGACUGCAAGGCUAGAAUCUGGCAGAGGGGGGUAGAAUUCCACGUGUAGCAGUGAAAUGCGUAGAUAUGUGGAGGAACACCGAUGGCGAAGGCAGCCCCCUGGGUCAAGAUUGACGCUCAUGCACGAAAGCGUGGGGAGCAAACAGGAUUAGAAACCCCAGUAGUCCCA
rnacentral:rRNA from 1 species